rnacentral:rRNA from 1 species
AACGAACGCUGGCGGCAGGCCUAACACAUGCAAGUCGAACGCCCUAGCAAUAGGGAGUGGCAGACGGGGUGAGUAACACGUGGGAACCUUCCCUAUAGUACGGAAUAGCUCAGGGAAACUUGAAGUAAUACCGUAUACGCCCGAGAGGGGAAAGAUUUAUCGCUAUAGGAUGGGCCCGCGUCGGAUUAGCUAGUUGGUGAGGUAAUGGCUCACCAAGGCGACGAUCCGUAGCUGGUUUGAGAGAACGACCAGCCACACUGGGACUGAGACACGGCCCAGACUCCUACGGGAGGCAGCAGUGGAGAAUAUUGGACAAUGGGCGCAAGCCUGAUCCAGCCAUGCCGCGUGAGUGAUGAAGGCCUUAGGGUUGUAAGCUCUUUUAGCAGGGAAGAUAAUGACUGUACCUGCAGAAUAAGCUCCGGCUAACUUCGUGCCAGCAGCCGCGGUAAU